GGAUCUAAGCUCAGCCUCUGAUAAAUAAUUAUCUGCAACUUGCCCAAUUCUAUAGCCUUGAUCUAACAUUUCACGUGCCUUUCCCCAUCGGUUCACAAAGUAGGCGUUGCAUUUUUCGAAUGUGUAUUCAAUAAUUCCAGCGACGGGCCUACUUCGGAUGCCUUUGAAAACUCCGUUGAGUGAUUCCGAGAAGUUCGUGGUCAUAAUACCCCAGCGCAUCCCUCCCUCAUCGAAAGCCUGCGCCCA
rnacentral:lncRNA from 1 species